UUUUGUUUGUGCUUUGCUCUGCUUGGCUUUUAAAAUUCCAACUUAAAAUUCUGUUAGAUUCUUCUGCUCCUUGAGUCACUGUAAACAUGAUACACAAUAUGAAGAUGUAAGUUGCUUUUGAGAAAAUGAAAGGGUACUGCACAGAGAAAGGGGAAUAACCUACUAUUCAUGCCUGUAAUGGAGGGGGCAAGAUGUCAUCAGUAUAAACUGCAGCAAGAAAAAUGCACUGAAGAUUGUCACCAUUGAUCUGAAUGGAUGCAGUAGAGGAAGUGACAUUUCUGUGCAGAGGAUUGGAAGAACAUUACCAGAAGCAGUGAUCUGAGAGAAAACCAUACUCUCAGGACUUAUCUUACGGAAUUGCAUGGUUGCAGCCCCAGAGAACAUCACAUAAAUAUGGGACUGUGUUUAUAACUGCCAGGCAAGACUUCAGCACACUGAAAGAAGGAACAGCUGUCAAAAACUGAAUCAUUUCAGCAACCUGUUUCAGGUACUUAACCAUUGUCUUCCUUCGGCAAUUUAUAUCUUCAAAACUUUUGCAGCAAAUGUACUGAGUGGCUUCUUAUUUACAUUUCCUGUAUUAUACUGUAUGUCAGCCUUAUUAUAAAGUGUUGAUUUCAGUUAGCUUAAUUUUACAAACAAAAAACAUUUACAUUAAACAUCCAAGUAUUCUAAAAGAAAUAAUAUUUUUAGGCAGGCUCAUCUGUGAGUUGUAUGAAAGAAAAUAUAUGCACAAUGUUGGUUAAACCUUGGUAUAUGGCUCUUUUGUGAUUACAUACCCAUACUAGAGGGAAGAAUUUCCUACUGUAACAAGCAGCAACAGUAAUAGUAAACAAAGGAAAAUACCUUAAUUUCCCAGUGCAUAUGUAUCUGAAAAAAUAUGGCUUUUUAUAACUAAGGCAUUGGGGCAUAAGAAAAGGAUGCAUCUCCUUUACAAAUGAAGUAUUACUGCUUUGAAUCACUGCACAAAAGUGAACUAUUAAACUACAUUUUUUAUCUGAAGUGCUGAACUGGGAAUAUUGGCGAUAUUACACUGCUAAUGGAUUCAGAAAACAAAAGAAAACUUAAGACAUCAGACUUUAAAAGGGAGAAAACAUGUUUAUUUCAUGCAGUUUACAAUACACUAGUGUUAUGAAAAGGAAGUUAAAAAAAUA
rnacentral:lncRNA from 1 species